rnacentral:rRNA from 1 species
AGAGUUUGAUCAUGGCUCAGAACGAACGCUGGCGGCAGGCUUAACACAUGCAAGUCGAGCGCCCCGCAAGGGGAGCGGCAGACGGGUGAGUAACGCGUGGGAAUCUACCCUUUUCUACGGAAUAACGCAGGGAAACUUGUGCUAAUACCGUAUGAGCCCUUCGGGGGAAAGAUUUAUCGGGAAAGGAUGAGCCCGCGUUGGAUUAGCUAGUUGGUGGGGUAAAGGCCUACCAAGGCGACGAUCCAUAGCUGGUCUGAGAGGAUGAUCAGCCACAUUGGGACUGAGACACGGCCCAAACUCCUACGGGAGGCAGCAGUGGGGAAUAUUGGACAAUGGGCGCAAGCCUGAUCCAGCCAUGCCGCGUGAGUGAUGAAGGCCCUAGGGUUGUAAAGCUCUUUCACCGGUGAAGAUAAUGACGGUAACCGGAGAAGAAGCCCCGGCUAACUUCGUGCCAGCAGCCGCGGUAAUACGAAGGGGGCUAGCGUUGUUCGGAAUUACUGGGCGUAAAGCGCACGUAGGCGGACAUUUAAGUCAGGGGUGAAAUCCCGGGGCUCAACCCCGGAACUGCCUUUGAUACUGGGUGUCUAGAGUCCGGAAGAGGUGAGUGGAAUUCCGAGUGUAGAGGUGAAAUUCGUAGAUAUUCGGAGGAACACCAGUGGCGAAGGCGGCUCACUGGUCCGGUACUGACGCUGAGGUGCGA